UCGGAACGUGCCCAGUCGUGGGGGAUAACGUAGCGAAAGCUACGCUAAUACCGCAUACGAUCUACGGAUGAAAGCGGGGGACUCGCAAGAGCCUCGCGCGAUUGGAGCGGCCGAUGGCAGAUUAGGUAGUUGGUGGGGUAAAGGCUCACCAAGCCGACGAUCUGUAGCUGGUCUGAGAGGAUGGCCAGCCACAUUGGGACUGAGAAACGGCCCAG
rnacentral:rRNA from 1 species